UACGAAGGGGGCUAGCGUUGUUCGGAAUUACUGGGCGUAAAGCGUGCGCAGGCGGCUUCUCAAGUCAGGGGUGAAAGCCCAGAGCUCAACUCUGGAAUUGCCUUUGAGACUGAGUGGCUUGAGUACGAGAGAGGUGAGUGGAAUUCCCAGUGUAGAGGUGAAAUGCGUAGAUAUGCGGAGGAACACCGAUGGCGAAGGCAAUCCCCUGGGCCUGCACUGACGCUCAUGCACGAAAGCGUGGGGAGCAAACAGG
rnacentral:rRNA from 1 species